rnacentral:lncRNA from 1 species
ACAGGUGGAGUAUAUUAUAAGAUAAUUGAUGAACUUCUUUGAUUCCUUUCUAUCAGGAUCUGUGGAAAGAGGAGAUUUCUCAAAUGAAAUUAUUUUAAACGCCAUUGGUUAAUCCCUGGGAGUAGCCCAAGUUCCUCCCCCACUGACAAACUUUCUAGGGAUAUAAAUAAGGGCCUGUGAAAAGGAGUAUCAUCAGCCAAAAACCCAAAAUGGCAAGCUUCAAAAUUGUGCUUCCUCUGCUCCUUCUGAGCCUGAUUGAGGUUAAAGCAUCUAAUGACCAGGAAGGACUCACCUAUAUUGAUGCCCUGACUAUCGCUGUCACGUAUGUCAAUGAAAACUCUGAAGAUAAAAAUGCCUAUUGGUUAAACGGACAUGAACUCCAGCCUCAAUGGAAUAACACAUCCAGAGAGCCCCACUAUCUAAGUUUCAUAGUGAAAGAGACCAACUGCCUGACAACACAAACUCUCACUCCUAUCGCAUGUGCCUUCAAAGAAAAUGGGAAGGAGAAAUAUUGUCAGGGAGUAAUCGUAGCCAUCAAUGAGAAGGAAGCUAAUGUGUGGGCAAAAUGUGUGCCUGUGGGAAGUACCGAGAUUUUCACAAAAAAUGAUCUCCAAAAAAGUGAGAAACAAGAUCCAAAAAAAGAAUAAUAAUGGUCAAGAAGUCAAUUUAAACUGGAAUUUCUGAAGUUCUUAAAAACCAUCAUUAAUCAGCUUCUGAGGAUAACUAAAAAGGAGCACUGUGGCUAGAGCAUUGGGCCUGAAGUUAGGAAGACCUGAAUUCAAAUAUGGUCUUAGACACUAUUACCUGGGAAAUCUCUUAUCCUCUCUUUAGUUCAAUUUCCUCAAAUGAAAAAUAGAGAUAAUAUCAGCACCUACCUCCCAGGCUUGUUUUGAGGAUCAUAUGCAUAUAAUUGGUGUGGAAUAAAUGCUCAAACUCUUUGUUU